ACGACAACAGUCGAUACCAGUGCCAAGCAACCUUGUUACCUUACGGGGAGGGAAGCGAUCGACAAGGAAAUGCAAAUUGUGGAAGACACAGCUAUUCCUGGACUCGCAUAUCGGAAGUACAAGCCAUGGGAGGUGCGUGUGUGCUGCCCUACCUUUUUAUAUGAAGAUCGAUUGGUUAAUUCUACUCCCAGUCAGAUGACCACUGACCCCCGUCCUGACCUUUACGGAUCGCGUGGCUUGACCAGGCACCUGGCCCUGGUUUAAUUGGUCGAGAUAUUCCC